UACGAAGGGGGCUAGCGUUGCUCGGAAUCACUGGGCGUAAAGCGCACGUAGGCGGCUUCUUAAGUCAGGGGUGAAAUCCUGGAGCUCAACUCCAGAACUGCCUUUGAUACUGAGAGCUUGAGUCCGGGAGAGGUGAGUGGAACUGCGAGUGUAGAGGUGAAAUUCGUAGAUAUUCGCAAGAACACCAGUGGCGAGGGCGGCUCACUGGCCCGGUACUGACGCUGAGGUGCGAAAGCGUGGGGAGCAAAGCAGG
rnacentral:rRNA from 1 species